AGUGAACGCUGGCGGCAGGCCUAAUACAUGCAAGUCGAACGGCAGCACAGUGGAGCUUGCUCCAUGGGUGGCGAGUGGCGGACGGGUGAGGAAUACAUGGGAAUCUGCCCAGUCGUGGGGGAUAACGUAGGGAAACUUACGCUAAUACCGCAUGCGCCCUUCGGGGGAAAGCCGGGGACCUUCGGGCCUGGCGCGAUUGGGUGAGCCCAUGUCGGAUUAGCUAGUUGGCGGGGUAAAGGCCCACCAAGGCGACGAUCCGUAGCUGGUCUGAGAGGAUGAUCAGCGACACUGGAACUGAGACACGGUCCAGACUCCUACGGGAGGCAGCAGUAGGGAAUAUUGGACAAUGGGCGCAAGCCUGAUCCAGCCAUGCCGCGUGAGUGAAGAAGGCCCUCGGGUUGUAAAGCUCUUUUGUCCGGAAAGAAAAGCGUUGGGUUAAUACCCCGGCGUCCUGACGGUACCGGAAGAAUAAGCACCGGCUAACUUCGUGCCAGCCGCCGCAGUAAAAC
rnacentral:rRNA from 1 species